rnacentral:rRNA from 1 species
UACGUAGGGGGCUAGCGUUGUCCGGAAUCAUUGGGCGUAAAGAGCGUGUAGGCGGCCCGGUAAGUCCGCUGUGAAAGUCGGGGGCUCAACCCUCGGAUGCCGGUGGAUACUGUCGGGCUAGAGUACGGAAGAGGCGAGUGGAAUUCCUGGUGUAGCGGUGAAAUGCGCAGAGUAUCAGGAGGAACACCAAUGGCGAAGGCAGGCUCGCUGGAACGGUACUGACGCUGAGGCGCGAAAGCGUGGGGAGCGAACAGG